rnacentral:lncRNA from 1 species
GGGGGUUUGAAGGUGAAGAAUGUUGUUACUGGCGAUGUGUCUGAUUUGAAGGUGUCGGGAUUGUUCUUUGCGAUUGGGCAUGAGCCGGCGACGAAGUUCUUGGAUGGGCAGCUUGAGGUUGAUGAAGAUGGUUAUGUGGUGACGAAGCCUGGUACGACUAAGACGAGUGUGGUUGGUGUGUUUGCUGCUGGAGAUGUUCAAGAUAAGAAGUAUAGGCAGGCUAUUACAGCUGCAGGAACUGGUUCGUUCUUUGCUUCUCUUUUUACCCUUUGAAAUCAUUACUGAAAUGUAUCAUAGAAGCAGCAUCUGAUAUGCUGUGUGCGCUUGUUAUCUACUACCAUAAUGUAUUUAGUUGUUAGGUGUUGGAGAGUCAUUAGCUUUUUAUGAUGGGCUCUUUACGUUCUCAAAGUGACUUUUUGUAUAUCAUUUGAUUUACUUAACAAAGAGUAGGGUAGGCAUGAUUUGUGUUUCCUAUAGAAUGUUGGUCCUUUUUGGCGUUAGAAGCUUCUCUACUAUUCUCAUACAUUGAGAAGACACUGUAAUGGUCAUUAGCUGUUCUAGGUAGGAUGUCCUGAGAGCCUGCAGUUAUAAUUAGACUGUUUCAGGUAUCGAUAUAAAGUUCUUUAAUAUUGCUACAAGAAGAACCAGGCAUAUUUAGCUAUCUUCACUGCUGACGACCAAGUUGAAAUCAGAUUGUUUAGGGGGGGCCUAGGAUAAAUUGUAUUUCUGUCAGACCCAGUUUUUGGAUACCUUUUUAGACAGUGAUUUAUCUUUUUAAUUUCCACUUUCAUAAGCAACACUGAUCACAACUUACGGAUUGGUGCAGGGUGUAUGGCGGCCUUGGACGCAGAGCAUUACUUACAGGAGAUUGGAUCUCAGGAGGGAAAAAGUGAUUAGAUAAGGUGUCGGUGAAGGACCCAUUUAUAAGCUUCUCUCUAUUAUUUGCAGUGUCAUUUGCAGAACUGUCGAAAAGAUAAUCUUAAUGAGGGAGUAUGAGUAGUAGAGUUGUAAGCGUUUGCAGUUGAACUUGAUUCUGGAGUUUGUGCCAAGUUGUAACUCUUUAGUGGGUCACAGAUUUGAGCAAUCUGCUCUUCAUUUGUUCCUCAGGACCUCAUUUGUUCUUCAGUUUGAGUUGAACCGAUUGGAUUUGGAGUCUCUAUAGCUCAAUAAAACUAAAAUGGAUUUCUAGAAAUAUUGGUCAAUUAUUUAGAGAAAACGAUAAAAAUAAUAUUGUUUGUAAUCUACAACACUUCAAAUUUAAUUAUAACAUUUAGACAUAGUUUGCCUUUUUAUUGCAUUUCAAAAUUCAUAUUUUAAAAAUACUUGGGGGUUAUUGGUUGUUGUAUUUUAAUGGAUUUAAAAAUCCGAACUAAAUUUAGUGUUAUUGGUUCUAUGAUUUUUAGUUUUGUAUUAAAAUCAUGUGUUAUUGGUUUAAUGAUUCAUAAAUUAUAUAUUAAAUCAAAUAUUAUUCAGUCGUACAAAUUUACUAAUAAAUUUGAUUUUAUAAUGAAUUUGAAUGAGUUUUUUUGGAUUUUUUUUGUGAAAAAUACAAAGACUCAAAUCAGAAAAAAAUCUUCGGAUUUGUAAAUAUUAAUCCGAAUUUUUUUUAAAAAUCUGCAUAUUUUUUACUUGGAUUUAUAAAUAUUACAUGGAUUUCUAAAUCAAUCAAAAUAUAUAAACCGAUAACACAUAAAUAAUUAUUUCUUAUCAAAAUUAAAGAAGAUUAUUUUUAUUAUUAAACAAUUUACCUUAUCUUAAUAAUAUUUAUAUUUUGUAAAAGUUAUUUUAAAACAUAUAUCAUUAUUUUAAGACAUUUAUAAAAUAUUACUCCCUCCAAUUCAUACUACAGUAAAUGUCGUUGUAUACAAAAUAAUGGCAUUUUGAAUUUUGGUGCAAAAUUUAUUAAUUUUAAAUGUUGUAUGACUAUAUAUUCUACCGUUUAUUUUUCUAUUGAUUAAAAUAUAGUUAAGUGUAUAGUUAAUAAUUUUUUUAUUUAGAAAACAUAUGAAAUUAUAAAUUUUCUUAAUUUGUGUGCACAAAUUUAAAAUAAUUUUUCAGAAAAAUGUAAAUAUGAGAAGAUAAAGAGAGCGUCGAAAUCACGGUUGAUUAAGUUAUUUAGAUAACCCGCUUUGAUUUAGCUGGUUUUUGGACGGGUGAAUAUUAUCCAAGUUUAAUAUGCAAAAUAUUGAAUUUCUCAAUGAACCUCUUUUUAAUUUUUAAAAUAAAGAAACUCAAAGUUCAUAAUAUAAGAGGACAUUUGAGAUCUUUUAUUUUCGAUUUAUGGAAAGAUCAUUUCUGAUUUAGAAUUCUCUAUUUGGCUUAGGCAUUCGGAUUUGGUUUGGUUAAUUCAAAAUUUCAGUUUUUGGUAUUAUAUUUAUAAGUCUUAUAUGGAUUUUACUAACUUGUGGAUGGGGUUCGGUUCAAUAUUUUUUCAGUUUAUAAACAGUAUUUGAAAUCGUAAACUAAAAAAAUAUUCAAAAUAACAAAUAAAAAAUAUCAAAAUCUUUAAAAUAUUCGAAAAUAUCUAAAUUAGUUUAACAUAUAUAAAAAUAAUACGUUUAAUUAAUUUCAAAUAUUUUUAGAUUAUUUUAGUUCAAUUCAUAGCUCUUAAGACCCGUUCCAAUAAUUUUCUGUAACGAUUCCUAUGAGAUUUCAUGGUUCGGGUUAAGGUCGGGACAACCGUUUAGGGUAAACUAAAAACUCACAGGCCUAAGCAGAGCGAGCAGGAGGAGAGGCUUUCUACUCGGAUCUGCUCUCUCCACGCCGUCAUGGAAACUCACAAAGCCAAGGUCUGCAUCGUCGGAAGCGGUCCCGCAGCCCACACAGCAGCGAUCUACGCAGCUAGAGCCGAGCUCACGCCUAUCCUCUUCGAAGGAUGGAUGGCCAACGACAUCGCCCCCGGCGGUCAAUUAACCACCACCACCGACGUCGAAAACUUCCCCGGCUUCCCCGACGGUAUCCUCGGCAUCGACCUCGUCGCGAAGUUCCGUAAGCAAUCGGAGCGAUUCGGCGCCAAGAUCUUCACGGAGACUGUCAACAAAGUCGAUUUCUCCUCGAAGCCGUUUAAGCUUUUCACCAAUACGAGAACCGUCCUCGCCGAGGCCGUGAUCGUCUCCACGGGAGCCGUGGCGAAGCGCCUCAGCUUCCCUGGAUCUGGUGAAGGCGCUGGUGGUUUCUGGAACAGAGGUAUCUCGGCGUGCGCCGUGUGCGACGGAGCUGCUCCGAUUUUUAGGGACAAGCCUCUGGUGGUUAUCGGCGGCGGCGAUUCGGCUAUGGAGGAGGCGAAUUUUCUGACUAGGUAUGGUUCUAAGGUUUAUAUAAUCCACAGGAGAGACAAGUUCAGGGCGUCUAAGAUCAUGCAGAAGAGAGCGUUGUCGAACCCUAAGAUUGAAGUGAUUUUGAACGGUUCGGUGGUUGAGGCGUAUGGAGAUGAGAGUGGGAAAGGCGUUCUUGGGGGUUUGAAGGUGAAGAAUGUUGUUAAUGGUGCUGUGUCUGAUUUGAAGGCUUCUGGAUUGUUCUUUGCGAUUGGGCAUGAGCCAGCGACGAAGUUCUUGGAUGGGCAGGUUGAGCUUGAUGAAGAUGGUUAUGUGGUGACUAAACCUGGUACUACUAAGACUAGCGUGGCUGGUGUGUUUGCUGCUGGUGAUGUUCAAGAUAAGAAGUACAGGCAGGCCGUCACAGCUGCAGGAACUGGUAUGAGUUAGCGUUUAGAAAUCAAGAAUGCUGUGUGCUUGUUAU